GACGAACGCUGGCGGCGUGCCUAACACAUGCAAGUCGAGCGGAGUCAGUAAGAGGAAGUUUUCGGAUGGAAUCUUAUUGAUUUAGCGGCGGACGGGUGAGUAACGCGUGAGCGACCAACCUUGCACAGGGGGAUAACGGACCGAAAGGUUCACUAAUACCGCAUGAGACCACGGUGUUGCAUGACACAGGGGUCAAAGCAGCAAUCCGGUGCAAGACGGGCUCGCGUCCGAUUAGGGAGUUGGAGGGGUAACGGCCCACCAAGCCUAUGAUCGGUAGCCGACCUGAGAGGGUGAUCGGCCACAUUGGAACUGAGAUACGGUCCAAACGCCUACGGGAGGCAGCAGUGGGGAAUAUUGGGCAAUGGGGGAAACCCUGACCCAGCAACGCCGCGUGAAGGAAGAAGGUUUUCGGAUUGUAAACUUCUGUCCUUGGUGAAGAGAAGAAGACGGUAGCCAAGGAGGAAGCCCCGGCUAACUACGUGCCAGCCGCCGCCGUAA
rnacentral:rRNA from 1 species